AAAAUACAUCGAUGUAACUCAUUUACUGUCACAUGCUGCCAACUGCAGAGAGGGCAAAGUGGAAAAGAUAAUGCAUACUUUUCCCAGCCCACCCAGUCUUCCUCUUCUGCAGCAUUGUCCCUCGAUGCACAGAGAGGGCUCUGACGAGUCUGGUGAUUGGCAGUGGUAUGCUAAUUUACUUCCUCUGGCCCAAUCCGCUCCCCUGCUUUUCUUCUGGAGGACUGAGGUGAACGCUGGUUGCAUCCUUGCUGCCUUUAAAUAUAUAUACGGUUAAAGAAGGAGUUUUCACAGUCAAUGCUCCAUAACAAAUUCACUCUUCGGCUAUUCAAGACUUCAUCAUAUCAUUGGAGCCAAAAGGACCAUGAAGAAAUCUUUGUAACUUUGGGACAAGAAAGUUAAAGACUUACAUUGUCACUCUUAGAUGAUUUUCAGUUGGUUUAAUUCUUCUAGGAAAAAGAAAAGUAAAAAAUUACAGGUAAAAGUCAUAUCAGAGUUUAUGAAAUAAAAAAGAAAACCCAAACAAACAAACCAACAAAAACCCUACCAACCACUGACUGGAACUUCAGAAAAAUCAUACAACAUGAAAUUUAAUAUGAGUAACACUUCCUGUUUUGAUACAAAUGGUUUAAGAAAGAUGGAGCUAGCAAAUAAUUUGUAGUGUAGAUAGUUUGUCCUUUCUGCUCAAAAAAAUUAGUCUGACUCUUCAUUUUUUAACAGAGAAAAUUCACACUGUUUAGCGCUGUUCUCUUAGGUCAACUGAAAGCUACCAUAAGUGUGGAAGAAUAUAUGUCCUCUAUGCAACAAGAACAAAAGCUUUCAUAAGCCCUAAAUAUUGUUUCAUUCAGGAAGUUAUUCUUAUGUGUAUGUUUCCACAAGUAUUAUCAGUAGAAUUAGAGGGUAGCAGCAAUAUCCACAAGUUGUUUGGUUUCCUUCCCACACUAUCAGACACUGAAACAACAAAGAUGAAAUGUGGGAAACGCCUUUAAUUGCAACGCAAGUGGCUUUCCAGAAAAGAUUUAAGGAAAUUGUCUUUAAUGCAGAAUUGUUGAAGGGAUGUAAGAGGGAUUUUUGCAUGAAAUGUUUUAUUUGUGUAGAGGAUUUUAAGGACACCUGGGGCCAGAUUCUUUCCUGGUGUGAUGAUACUGAAGAUGUGUUCGGGCCAGUGGGCCAUAUUCUGAUCUUAGUUGUUAGUGUAACUUUCAAAGGGUAUUUUUCCGGAUUUAUGCUGAUGUGACUGAAUUAAAGCCAACCAAAAAUCUUUAUAGAUUAUGGGUCAUCUCUGAAAAAAUUAUUCUUGUGAGUGGU